GUACAUUCUUGAGGCAGCUGAGCUCAGCCCGGGGCCCAUUGGGCACACAGGGGGGUCAGUCAGUACCACUAUGGGCAGGUCGGACCGGUACCAGUACAUUCCUGGGGCAGCUGAGCUCAGCCCGGGGCCCAUUGGGCUCAGAAGCAGCUGAUUAGUGAUGCAGCGAGUGUAGCGCCAGAUGCUCUGCAGAAUCCGCCCCUCCCGUCGCCGCUGAAUAACUGCAUUGCCUCCUGAUGUGCUGAACUAUAAAUGUGCUGCACUCCGGCAGGGAAAGGGUGCGCCCCCAGCCUGUGCCAAUGGCAGAAGCAGCUGUGUUUGGCCCAUGUGAUUGUCAUUGGCUGCCCGCUUCCUCAGCGCCAGUCUCAGUGCCUGAUGGGCUUCCCUGUCUGCAGGAAUAACGAGCCGGGCACCCCCAGCCUGCUGCUAGUUACUGAUCCCCAUAUCCGGAGCCAUUGCUGAACCCCAGAUAAUAUGUUUGGCACCAGUUGUACCCGCUGCAGGCACCCUAAUAUCUCUGUGUACUGAUAGCCUUGCUCUGUCUGCCUCUGUGCCCUGUGCCCAUCAAAGGACUGGCACCUCCCAACUGACUCUGUACCCACUGCAAUCUCCCAGCUACUAAAGGACUGGCAUUGCCCAACAAGUAUUAUACCAGCUGAAGGACUGGCAUUUCUCCACUAGCUCUCUACCCACUGAAGGACUGGCAUUUCUCUACUAGCUCUCUACCCACUGAAGGACUGGCAUUUCUCUACUAGCUCUCUACCCACUGAACGACUGGCAUUUCUGUACUUGCUCUCUACCCACUGAAGGACUGGCAUUUCUCUAUUAGCUCUCUACCCACUGAAGGACUGGCAUUUCUCCACUAGAUCUUCACCACCUGAAGGACUGGCAUCUCUAAGCUAGCCCUGUACCCACUGGAAUCUCCCAGCUUCUACUUGAAGUACAUUAAAGGACUGGCAUUGCCCAACUAGCUCUCUACCCACUGAAGGACUGGCAUUUCUCUACUAGCUCUCUACCCACUGAAGGACUGGCAUUACCCAACUAGCUCUCUACCCUCUGAAGGACUGGCAUCUUUCCACUAGAUCUUUACUAGCUAAAGGACUGGCAUCACUCAGUGAAGGACUGGCAUUGCUCAAAUGGCUCUGUACCUACCGUGCCGUAUCUCCUACCCAGAUGUGUAACAGUUGAGGUUUUGGUAUCUCACUGCCAGUUGUGGCUGGCAUCUCCUAUUAAUCUUGGCAUACAUGGCAUCCUUCGCCCAUCGAUUGUCUUUAGCAGUUUUUAAGCAGCUUUGCAGCCACAAACAGGCUGGGCAACCCCUUUGUAUCUCAGUGAUCUGUGCCCGCUGUGCCAGCUUUGCACCAUAGGCUGAGAUCCCUGCCAGCUGUGUAGUAAGUGCUGCCAUGUGUGCCAGUGUGUGACCCAUGAAGAAAAGCUGCUGAAAGGGCACAGGAGUAGUAGAGGCAGGGAUACCCCUUGGGGCUGCAAGGAGCUGUGUGCCCAUAGCUGGUUGGACCAGACAGUCGCCUCCCACAGACGCCUUCGGCGCCAGGAUGGGCGGAGCCAACUCGUUUCUUACAGAUUAGACUUGUGCAGAGCCAACUCAUCCCCCCUUGAAAGUGUUCCCCGA